rnacentral:rRNA from 1 species
ACGGGGUGCAGCAGGCGCGAAACCUUUACAAUGCACGCAAGUGUGAUAAGGGGAUCCUAAGUGCUCAUACAUUGUAUGGGCUUUUGCCAAGAGUAAAUAUCUUGGAGAAUAAGUGGUGGGUAAGACUGGUGCCAGCCGCCGCGGUAACACCAGCGCCACGAGUGGCAACCACGUUUAUUGGGCCUAAAGCGUCCGUAGCCGGCUAGGUAAAUCUUUUGUGAAAUCGUCAAGCUCAACUUGACGGCGCGCUUGAGACACUGCCUUGCUUGAGACCGGGAGGAGUCAGAGGUAUUCCAGGGGGAGCGGUAAAAUGUGAUAAUCCCUGGAGGAUCACCUAUGGCGAAGGCAUCUGACCAGAACGGAUCUGACGGUGAGGGACGAAGGCUGGGGGAGCGAUCCGGAUUAGAUACCCGAGUAGUCCCAGCAGUAAACGCUGCGAGCAAGAUGUUGCACUUCUCAUGAGGAUGUGCAGUGUCGAAGCGAAGGCAUUAAGCUCGCCGCCUGGGAAGUACGGUCGCAAGACUGAAACUUUAAGGAAUUGGCGGGGGAGCAC